rnacentral:pre_miRNA from 1 species
CCUUAUCACUUAUCUUGUCCAGUCAAAUUUAGACUACUGGACGGAGAACUGAUAAGGGC